GACGGAGGAUGCAAGCGUUAUCCGGAAUUAUUGGGCGUAAAGCGUACGCAGGUGGCCCAUCAAGUCUUUUGUUAAAGCGCGAAGCUCAACUUCGUAAAGGCAGAAGAAACUGGUGAGCUAGAGUGUGGUAGGAGCAGGAGGAAUUCCCGGUGUAGCGGUGAAAUGCGUAGAUAUCGGGAAGAACACCAGCGGCGAAAGCGUCCUGCUAAGCCAUAACUGACACUCAUGUACGAAAGCUAGGGGAGCGAAUGGG
rnacentral:rRNA from 1 species